AUAUAUAAUGUAAAUACAAAAUAGGGCCGGGAACCUGGACUUUCAAUUUCGAUAGGAAGUAUAAACGUUAACAAACUUUUCAAAGACAGACAUCUUAUGAACGCACCACCAUUUCUCUUUAUCA